AGAUUGAACGCUGGCGGCAGGCCUAACACAUGCAAGUCGAGCGGCAGCACGGGUACUUGUACCUGGUGGCGAGCGGCGGACGGGUGAGUAAUGCCUAGGAAUCUGCCUGAUAGUGGGGGAUAACGUUCGGAAACGGACGCUAAUACCGCAUACGUCCUACGGGAGAAAGUGGGGAUCUUCGGACCUCACGCUAUCAGAUGAGCCUAGGUCGGAUUAGCUAGUUGGUAGGGUAAAGGCCUACCAAGGCUACGAUCCGUAACUGGUCUGAGAGGAUGAUCAGUCACACUGGAACUGAGACACGGUCCAGGACCUCCGACGGGAGCAGCAGGUGGGAAUAGUUGGACAAGUGGGACGAAGCCUGAUCCAGCCAUGCCGUGUGUGUAGAAGAGGUC
rnacentral:rRNA from 1 species